rnacentral:rRNA from 1 species
UACGUAGGGGGCAAGCGUUGUCCGGAUUUAUUGGGCGUAAAGAGCGUGUAGGCGGCCAGCACAAGUCAGUUGUGAAAUCUCCGAGCUUAACUCGGAAAGGUCAACUGAUACUGUGCGGCUAGAGUGCAGAAGGGGCAACUGGAAUUCUUGGUGUAGCGGUGAAAUGCGUAGAUAUCAAGAGGAACACCUGCGGCGAAGGCGGGUUGCUGGGCUGACACUGACACUGAAGCGCGAAAGCCAGGGGAGCAAACGGG